rnacentral:rRNA from 1 species
AGCGAACGCUGGCGGCAGGCCUAACACAUGCAAGUCGAACGAUCCUUCGGGAUAGUGGCGGACGGGUGAGUAACACGUGGGAACGUGCCCUUUGGUUCGGAACAACUCAGGGAAACUUGAGCUAAUACUGAAUGUGCCCUUCGGGGGAAAGAUUUAUCGCCAUUGGAGCGGCCCGCGUCUGAUUAGCUAGUUGGUGAGGUAAAGGCUCACCAAGGCGACGAUCAGUAGCUGGUCUGAGAGGAUGAUCAGCCACAUUGGGACUGAGACACGGCCCAAACUCCUACGGGAGGCAGCAGUGGGGAAUCUUGCGCAAUGGGCGAAAGCCUGACGCAGCCAUGCCGCGUGAAUGAUGAAGGUCUUAGGAUUGUAAAAUUCUUUCACCGGGGACGAUAAUGACGGUACCCGGAGAAGAAGCCCCGGCUAACUUCGUGCCAGCAGCCGCCGUAAAAC